rnacentral:rRNA from 1 species
GCUACACAUGCAAGUCGAGCGGUAACACAGAGAGCUUGCUCUCGGGUGACGAGCGGCGGACGGGUGAGUAAUGUCUGGGAAACUGCCUGAUGGAGGGGGAUAACUACUGGAAACGGUAGCUAAUACCGCAUAACGUCGCAAGACCAAAGAGGGGGACCUUCGGGCCUCUUGCCAUCAGAUGUGCCCAGAUGGGAUUAGCUAGUAGGUGGGGUAACGGCUCACCUAGGCGACGAUCCCUAGCUGGUCUGAGAGGAUGACCAGCCACACUGGAACUGAGACACGGUCCAGACUCCUACGGGAGGCAGCAGUGGGGAAUAUUGCACAAUGGGCGCAAGCCUGAUGCAGCCAUGCCGCGUGUAUGAAGAAGGCCUUCGGGUUGUAAAGUACUUUCAGCGAGGAGGAAGGUGUUGAGGUUAAUAACCUCAGCAAUUGACGUUACUCGCAGAAGAAGCACCGGCUAACUCCGUGCCAGCAGCCGCGGUAAUACGGAGGGUGCAAGCGUUAAUCGGAAUUACUGGGCGUAAAGCGCACGCAGGCGGUCUGUCAAGUCGGAUGUGAAAUCCCCGGGCUCAACCUGGGAACUGCAUUCGAAACUGGCAGGCUAGAGUCUUGUAGAGGGGGGUAGAAUUCCAGGUGUAGCGGUGAAAUGCGUAGAGAUCUGGAGGAAUACCGGUGGCGAAGGCGGCCCCCUGGACAAAGACUGACGCUCAGGUGCGAAGCGUGGGGAGCAAACAGGAUUAGAUACCCUGGUAGUCCACGCCGUAAACGAUGUCGACUUGGAGGUUGUGCCCUUGAGGCGUGGCUUCCGGAGCUAACGCGUUAAGUCGACCGCCUGGGGAGUACGGCCGCAAGGUUAAAACUCAAAUGAAUUGACGGGGGCCCGCACAAGCGGUGGAGCAUGUGGUUUAAUUCGAUGCAACGCGAAGAACCUUACCUACUCUUGACAUCCAGAGAACUUAGCAGAGAUGCUUUGGUGCCUUCGGGAACUCUGAGACAGGUGCUGCAUGGCUGUCGUCAGCUCGUGUUGUGAAAUGUUGGGUUAAGUCCCGCAACGAGCGCAACCCUUAUCCUUUGUUGCCAGCGGUUAGGCCGGGAACUCAAAGGAGACUGCCAGUGAUAAACUGGAGGAAGGUGGGGAUGACGUCAAGUCAUCAUGGCCCUUACGAGUAGGGCUACACACGUGCUACAAUGGCGCAUACAAAGAGAAGCGACCUCGCGAGAGCAAGCGGACCUCAUAAAGUGCGUCGUAGUCCGGAUUGGAGUCUGCAACUCGACUCCAUGAAGUCGGAAUCGCUAGUAAUCGUAGAUCAGAAUGCUACGGUGAAUACGUUCCCGGGCCUUGUACACACCGCCCGUCACACCAUGGGAGUGGGUUGCAAAAGAAGUAGGUAGCUUAACCUUCGGGAGGGCGCUUACCACUUUGUGAUUCAUGACUGGGGUGAAGUCGUAACAAG